UGCUUGUUCCAUUAAAAAGUGUCCCUUGCUUU
rnacentral:piRNA from 1 species